rnacentral:tRNA from 1 species
GCAUCGGUGGUUUAGUGGUAGAAUGCUCGCCUACCACGGGUUCGAUUCCCGGCCGAUGCA